ACUGAAUACUCUAAUGGAAAAUAUAUGCAACGAAAAGUCAAUUUCCGUUAUUCAUUAUUUGUAUACAUAUUCAGAAGUUUAUAUCCGUUACCCCUUUCAUCCUAAACUAUAUAAAGUAUAUAAAGGUCACACAAAAUACAUUUAUUUUGAUAUUGAGGGGCAAGCUUCUUCAUAAAGUCUUGAGGGUAUUAAUUUGAAUGGUAUGUGAGCUCAGAAUAAAAAAAAAUGCAAAAGGUUUGAAGCGCUAACAAUUAAAGCGCACAUGAAGUCGAGAAAAUAACCGACGACGAGAACAGAAAUUGGAAAGAUGUAUGUACAUACAUAUGUUCAUAUAUAUGCAUAUGUGCACACAUACCUAUAUAUGUUUUUAUAUUUAUCUGAAAACAUUUGUCUGUAAAAGAUAAGUAACAAUGUUGAUAAUACGGCAGCAACGAAGACGAGAAGCGACGGCGUUUCCUUAAUAUGCAUACAAUUUUGAAUAAAGCAGUAUAAAAUCUGCAUUUGAAACAAUUGCAGCAUUCAAAUACAAUAACAACUUUUAUUGGUAUAUUUUUUUUUCCAACCCCCAAGGGUCCGGCCACCAACCCCCACCCAUCAUUCUGAACAUGUUGCGGCAGAUCAGGUUCAUACGCCAAGCCCCGAAAACAAAAUCAAAUCAUCAAAACGAAUUUUCGUUCCAUCGCACUUCAGAAAGUCAGCGCACCAACACAUACAUUAUUGCAGUGGCCGUGUGAAUCAAGCCAGAACCGGUUUGGAGCGCUAAAAAAUCAUUGGCUACACGCACUUACACAGAUGUAGCUGGGACUUCUGGCUGCGUGCUCUACACGCCCUAAUACAAAUGUAGCUGGGGCUUCUAGCUGCGUGUUCUACACGCACUAAUACUUGUAACUGCGACAUUGGUAGAGGCCUGGGACUUCCCGACGCACAUUCUGCGGUGACGUUUCGCUUCCUUUGAAUUGACAAUCUACUAUACUAUUUGGUUAGUGCAGAUACCAAGUGUGGUAUGUAGACGUGUCGGUAUUGGUAUUUUGGUGGUAUUUUUUCCCGAGAUUAAUGCUGUUUAUUAUUUAAUUUAAAUAUCCAAUGUAAAUAGAGAAUGUGUUGCAUUCGAAGGAAAUCGAUCGGCAAAAUACUGGAUUUAGCAUUUGGUGGUUGGCAGGCGAUAGUAGAAUGGGCAAGCCGAUAAACGGUGUCGGAGAGCGAGAGAAGGGGAAAAUAGAAGAGUGGCUCGAAAACAUUGCGGGAUCUGCAAGCCAGCUCACCCACACCCUCGAAAAUGCCAUGCUAUGCCCUUGAACUUGGUUCAAGGGCAAUAGAAGAGAUGGACUGCAUAGAGCAGCUACGCUGAACAUGCCGGCAGUGGAAAAAUAAACAUCGGCAGUGUUAGAGCGUUUUGUGUGUGUGACCUUUUAGAAAAAAUUCGAGAAAGAGGAAACAAACAGACCUGCGGGACAAUCUAGAGGACCUUUUUAUCAGCAUCUAAUUAAGAAGUGAGUUAACUCCGUCACCAUAUAUAUUUAUAAAGGGGAAGGGGAGUACAACGGCGAGAUGGAGAAAGGCCGCCGCACUUGGGAAAGGAGAUUCGUAGUUGUUUUGAGUAGUUGUUUGAUCUCAAGUAGAGUACGUAGAUGAUUGUCCGUUAGAUGUAGAGUAAAGUCCGUUGCAUUGUUAUACCCGGUACUCAAAGAGUAAAUAGGGUAUAUUGUAUUUGUGUGGAAUAACGCUUGUAUGUACCGCACAGAAGGAAGCGUUUCCGACCCCAUAAAGUAUAUAUAUUCUUGAUCAGCAUCAAUAGCCGAGUCAAUAGAGCCAUGUCUGUCUGUCCGUCUGUCCGUCUUGUUUGUCGGCUAGUUCUCAGAGACUAUAAGAGCUAGAGCCGCCAAAUUUUGGCUCCGGACUGCCUCCUCAAAGGGCGAAAACCUCCCAAACCUACAGUUUUGAAGAUAAAAGAAAACUAAAAACGCCAUUCCGUAGGUAAUGACCAUAUCUAUCAGAUCACCUAAAUCAUUAUUAUAGCCACAAUGGAGAAAUUAAUUUCCAGUGGCUAAACUUUUCACACUCUUUAUUAAUGACCUGCCUUCUGUAUUAACAAAUUCUCGAGUACUUAUGUAUGCGGAUGAUGUUAAACACUGUGUCCAGUAUAAGGAUUUUUCAUUUCACUCUCGCUUGCAAUCUGAUCUCAAUAGCUUUCAGUCAUGGUGCUGUGCAAAUAUGUUACAACUUAAUGCCUCGAAGUGCAAUGUUAUGACUUUUUAUCGCUCCAGCCCCUUCCUGGCUCCUUACACCCUCUGCGGUAGUUCUCUUGAGAGAAUUACAUUGGUUGAUGAUCUAGGUGUUAAACUAGACCCCAACUUAAAGUUCUCUGAACACAUUUCUACCAUGGUAAAUAAAGCCAUGGGUGUGUUUGGGUUUAUAAAGAGGUGGUCAAAGGAAUUUGAGGACCCCUAUAUAACGAAGGCUCUCUAUAUCUCGCUUGUUCGUCCGAUUUUAGAAUACGGCUCAUGUGUAUGGUGCCCUCAGUACAACAUACAUCAGGACCGUAUUGAAUCAGUACAGAAAAACUUUUUAUUAUUUGCCCUACGGGGCCUCAACUGGGAUGCAACUGUGAGACUGCCAUCCUACCGUAGUAGACUUCUUUUAAUAAAUCUUCCAUCCUUAGUUAGUCGUAGAAAAAUGCUUGGUGUAAUUUUUAUGCACAACUUGAUCAAGGGGGAUGUAGACAGCCCUGACUUGCUGAGCC
rnacentral:lncRNA from 1 species